rnacentral:rRNA from 1 species
UACGUAGGUGGCAAGCGUUGUCCGGAUUACUGGGCGUAAAGAGCGCGCAGGCGGUCGAUCAAGUCGCGUGUGAAAUCCCCCGGCUCAACCGGGGAACAGCUCCCGAUACUGCGUGCCUCGAGGGGGUAGGGGUCGACGGAACUUCCGGUGGAGCGGUGAAAUGCGUAGAUAUCGGAAGGAACGCCGGUGGCGAAAGCGGUCGACUGGACCCCGUUCUGACGC